GUUUAACCUUUUUGUCAUCUUCUGAGGAGAAACGCACUAAAAAAAUAGCUGAAGUUUUCUCUAGAAGCUAUUUCAGCUACAUCUAUGAGUCUAUUGAACCUAUUCAAAAUAUUCAAUACAUUCCUUGUAUUGGCAUAUCACUCUGCUGUUUUUUGUGUGUAUGCUUAUACACUUCAAUGGCUAGUGACCAACCUACAAAUUCCGAUGUUUGGAGGAUAUAGUAUCAUGCUGACAACAUGGGGACAUAUCAUUCAAAUCAUUUACUUUUUGGUAGCUAUCAUAUACGAUUUUGCCACGCUGGUUAAACGAAUAAAAUUGUUCAGAGACUAUACACCUAAAGAAAUAUAUAGCAGCAAUAGUCAAAUGACCAUCUUCACAGUGUCCUACUGUUAUGGGCUCUUGACCACCGUCUUGUUCUGGGGGAUUGUGUCUAUAAGACGCGAGCUGCUUAUUCCAGAAUCGCGGGUUAUACACUAUCCCAUGGCCGCAAAUAUCGUGCAGCAUGUGUGUCCGGCGUUUCUGAUGUGGAUAGAAAUGCUCGUUCAACCGAAAAGAAAUCGACCGUUUAUAGGAGAGCUAUCUACCGUUCUGAGUAUAGGGGUGGCCUACAUCGCAUGGACAUUCUACGCCUCUACGAAGGAUACAUGGCCUUACCCAUUUCAAAGAAAUUUUGGUGUGAAGCAACAUAUUCUAAUGGAUGCUUUUGUCAUGAUGCUUUUGAUUGGCUUGCUCCUGAUCAAAAGAAAGCUCGUGGAAGUACUUUACAGUUCUUACCAAGAAGAAGUCAAGAAAGUUAUCGAUAGCAGCCUAGCGAGAAGAAAGGUCCAUUGAUUGAUUCUUCUUUAAGGACUCCUGCUCAACGCAAAAGGCGCACUUCCACCAAAUUUUUAUUAAGAAAACGUUAUACAGAUAAAAUUCGAAACGAUUCAUUGAUAAACUGUUCUCUGUAUUUCAAGAAACCAGGGAAUUCUCUAAAAUAAUCUUGGAUAAACCCCAUUAGAUGUGAAUGGCCGAUGUGGUUCCUUACUACAAGCAGACAUUCUAAAAUUUCGAAAUCAGUUGGAGUGACCUCCCUUGAGGUUGGUAAAGCAGGCUCUGCACCUUCAUUUUUUGCAUUCGUGACUGCUUUUCUCUUCGCUUUUUUGACCUGUGGGGUGACGCUGUUCACGCCGCGCGGAGCAGGAACAUCUCGGGACUUGACAUGGUUCGAGUUCCAAGUUGAUGAGCUUACGGAAAAGUCUGCAAUGUCAAAAAAUAUGUACGCGAGAGUUAGCCGUCAUAAAAAAAAGCUGUAUACCAAACGAGCUUGGGGAUAGAGAAGAAUGUAAAAAUGCAUGCCAUCGUCCGGUGAUACUAAAUAUUUUCUGGGCCUUCCACGUUUGCGGUGCUGCGGCUUAGAAGUUUUUUCGGCGGUCAGAGUUUUUUUUGAAGGAUAGUCAUUCGAAUACGGAGGUGUAAAGUGUCCCUGAUACAUUAUUGUAUUUAGAU